UACGGAGGGUGCGAGCGUUAAUCGGAAUUACUGGGCGUAAAGCGUGCGUAGGUGGUUGAUUAAGUUAUCUGUGAAAUCCCUGGGCUUAACCUGGGCAGGUCAGAUGAUACUGAUUGACUCGAGUAUGGGAGAGGGUAGUGGAAUUUCCGGUGUAGCGGUGAAAUGCGUAGAGAUCGGAAGGAACACCAGUGGCGAAGGCGGCAUCCUGGACCGGCAUUGACGCUGAGGAGCGAAAGCCAGGGGAGCAAACGGG
rnacentral:rRNA from 1 species